GUGUCGGUAAGAAAGUAAUUAUAAAAUAUUAAUUAUUUUAUAAAAUGUUUCCUCGAUUAAUUUUUUUGAGGAUAAGCUCGAAAAAUCAGUUAAGAUUUUUUUUUGAUUUAAAUUGCUAUGUGGGCUUAAAAUUGGCCAUCAUAGGAGUUUGUUAUAAAACAGCGGUUUUAAUAUUUAAAAUAAAUAUAGUUUAUUCUAAUUUCUUACAGAAAUAAAAGCUCUAAUUAUCAAAUGCUUUACACCUAUGCUAAGAUGAGUAUUAAAAUCCUACAUAUAAUAAGAAAGUUUUAUAUAUUUUUCUUCUAAAAAAAUACUAAUUGAGUUAAAUUAAUUAGAAGGAACUCGGCAAAUUUAGUGCUUCCGCCUGUUUAUCAAAAACAUGGCUCUUUGUAUUUUAUUUUAUAAAGAGUCAGGCCUGCCCAGUGAAUAAUAUUUAACGGCCGCGGUACUCUGACCGUGCAAAGGUAGCAUAAUCAUUUGCCUUAUAAUUGAAGGCUAGUAUGAAUGGUUUAACGAAAGCAACACUGUCUCCUUUUUAUUUUCAAGAACUUAACCUUUAGGUGAAGAGGCCUAAAUUUAAUCGAAGGACAAGAAGACCCUGUCGAGCUUAAAAGACACUGUAGAAGCUUAUAUACUUUUAAAUAAAUUUUCUAUUAAGCUUUUUAGUUGGGGCGACUAAGGAACAAAAAAAGCUUCUUACAAUAAAUAAACAAUCAGGUUUUGAUCCGACAUNAGCCGAUCUAGGGAAUUAGUUACCGCAGGGAUAACAGCAUAAUCUCUCUUGAGAGAUCUAAUCGAAAGAGGGGGUUGUGACCUCGAUGUUGGACUAGAAUAUCCUAA
rnacentral:rRNA from 1 species